ACGUGUAACAACUGAUAGACUACAGCCUAUAAAAAUUAUCCUUCGCUUUCAGGUGCUGCUGGUGAUGUCAUCAUGUCACGGGGGCACGGCUAUGAAGGUGAAGCUGUUGUCCGUUGCUGAAUGUUGAUCUGGAGUAAGAGGACAGUUUUCUGUUUACUAGAUUGAGAGGAUGAAGAUCUUGCGGCUGCUACUGGACUGAGAAGAGAGGCUGGAAGCUAUGGAAGAAAAUAUCACCGUCGAUAGAUUGUGCUCGCGGUGCUGGUCCAGAGGAGAGGAAGAGAUUGUUGCUUGGUUGUUGUGUCUGCCGUGACCAGAAAAGAAGCCUUAGAUGUCACUGGAGCUGUCGCUGCCCCUGGCUGGAGAUGUUUGCUACUGCAGAUGCUUCAAGGGAGAAGAAAUAAGGAAGCAAGGCUGCUGAGGCUUAUAACUCCUACUACUGGUCAGGUUGAGUUAAUGGCUGCUCACGACUGUAACAGAGGAGAUGUGGCUGCUGCUCACGGCUGAGACUAUGUUGCUCAAGGCUGCAGCAGAGGUGAUGAAGUUGCUGCUGGACACUAAUGAAAACUUCAGCUGCACUGUGGCUUCCAUUAGACAAAGAAGAUGCAUAAGUAAUCAUGGAAUGCUGAUGGUUCUGCUGCUGCUGCAACUAUCGGUGUGAAGCCUAGCUAUGGUGGCUGCCAUUGAACAGAGAAGAUGCAGAAGUAAUCGUUGUUGUGGUGGUGCUCACCAUCAAUGAAGAUCAGUCUUGAAUCAAGGAAUGAAUGGGAGGAGGACCACUUGUUCUUCUUUUCAAGUCCAGUCACGAUCUUCCUUUGCUUUAAAAGAGAGAGUUCAUUUUUUCAUCACCUGAAAGGCUAGUCACGUACGGGUUUCUUGUUGUUUAAGGGAAUGGGUCAUGUGUUU
rnacentral:lncRNA from 1 species